GAGACACAAACAGAUCAUCAUCACAUCAUCUAAGACUGUGAUGGACCUGGUCAGGAAUAGCUACGUUAAACUAUCUAUUAAACUUCUAUGAAUCAAUUAGUGUUUUAGUGCAAAUCAAACUAUCAAACCUCUAAAGGAUGAAAUGUUUUCUUCCCACUGGACCAUUUCUAUCAACAAUUUAGAGAAGGAAAUUCUGUAUAGUUAUGUGACUAAAUUAGGAAACCCCAGUAAAAAGUCAGUUUUACAUAAAAUAUUGACAUACUGAUGCCUAAUUUCAUUUUAUCACCUCUGGAAAAGGAAGUGAUUUAUACGCUUUAAUCAUCUUGCAGAGGCAAAAACUUGGACAUCCCAACCCCUAAUAGCCUACUUUGUGCACCAGAUUGGAAAUAUUGGCCCGGGUUACUUCAGGAGAUGUUUAGCUGGAUGGAAAAGCCCGUUCAAAAAGACCUCAAGCUGACCUCUCCAUGUCCGACUGCUGCUGUAGCUCCGAUGUUUUCAAGGCUGCAGCAAACUGCAUCAACUCCGCUGCUUAUUAAAACCUCUGCAGCUCGGUGUCGUGUGGCUCGGAUUCCCUGAUCACAUCCCAUCCUGCUGAGCUACAUGAACAGAACUCAAACAUCUGAAGGAAGGAUGAAUAAAUGAUGAGCUAAAGCGGGUCUGACUGCAUCCUCGCAGAAGGGUUGGUUGUGUCAGCUGCAGAGAUCCAGCUGUUACAGAAGAGGGUUUAAUGUGGGAAUAUUUCGAAGGAUUAUUAAUAAACUGAUCCGAAAAGAAUAAAGAACACAUUAAAAUCCUUAUCAAUGUUAA